ACCUACGGGGCGCAGCAGUAGGGAAUCUUCCACAAUGGGCGAAAGCCUGAUGGAGCAACGCCGCGUGGGUGAAGAAGGUCUUCGGAUCGUAAAACCCUGUUGUUAGAGAAGAAAGUGCGUGAGAGUAACUGUUCGCGUUUCGACGGUAUCUAACCAGAAAGCCACGGCUAACUACGUGCCAGCAGCCGCGGUAAUACGUAGGUGGCAAGCGUUAUCCGGAUUUAUUGGGCGUAAAGGGAACGCAGGCGAUCUUUUAAGUCUGAUGUGAAAGCCUUCGGCUUAACCGGAGUAGUGCAUUGGAAACU
rnacentral:rRNA from 1 species